AAUUUUUUAUUUUUUUAUUUUUUAGUAUUGCAUACUAUUAGAAGAAAUUUUUAUUUUUAUAAAAAAUAGAAACAAAGGGUAAAAGGAAAAUAUGGUUUUUUUGUUACAAAAAUAUUUUUAUUUUUCCUGGUUUUGAAAAAACGUUCUUUGUGAUAUCUUUUUUAUUUUUUUUCUAUUAGAAAAUUAUAGAUUUUUUUUUUUUCUAGGAAAUUAAAAAUUUGAAGUGUUUUAUGUUUAAGUUUUUUAACUUUUUCUUUUUUUGUAAUUUCUUUUUUUUUUAUUUUUGUUUAUUCUAAAACAAAUUUAUAAUUUCUAAAUUAGUAGGUUUAAAAAAUUCUAUUAUUUAUUAUAAUUUUAUUAGAGAACUAAGAAUCAGGAUCAAAUGUUUUUUAAAGACUUAGGUUUUUAUAUAAAGCUUGCUUCUGCCCCAUGAAUUUUUAUUUUUUAAAUGGCAGUCUUAGCGUGAGGACAUUAAGGUAGCAAAAUAAUUUGUGCUUUUAUUGGGUUCCAGUAUGAAUGAAGUUAUUGGUUGGUUAUAUUCUUUUAUUUUUUCUGAAUUUAAUUUUUGUUUAAAAAAAAACAAUUAUAAUUAAACAAAGAUAAGUCUUCGGAAAUUCUUUUUUUGUAAUUUCUUUUGUUUUUACAAAAAAUUUUCUAGGGCAGAAUUUUAUAUAAUUUUUUUUACUAAAAAUAAUUUAAUGAGUUACUCCGGAGUUAACAGAAAUUCAUAUUUUAUCCAGAUCUUAUGGUAUUAAUAAGUUUUACAUCGAUGUUGUAUUCCUAUAUUCUAAAAGAGGAGAGGGUUUAGUUUUUAAGACUGUUCUUCUUUUAAUUAAUAGGACUUGAUAUUAGUUUAAUUCAUUGUAAGAUAGAAUUGUUUAUCUUGUUAAUUAUUUUAUUUAACACAACUAGUACGAAAGGAAAGUUGUGAAAAUUUGAAAUUUUUCAAAUGUUUCUUUUU
rnacentral:rRNA from 1 species